rnacentral:rRNA from 1 species
AUUGAACGCUGGCGGCAUGCCUUACACAUGCAAGUCGAACGGCAGCACGGACUUCGGUCUGGUGGCGAGUGGCGAACGGGUGAGUAAUGUAUCGGAACGUACCUUUCAGUGGGGGAUAACGUAGCGAAAGUUACGCUAAUACCGCAUAUUCUGUGAGCAGGAAAGCAGGGGAUCGAAAGACCUUGCGCUGAUUGAGCGGCCGAUAUCAGAUUAGCUAGUUGGUGGGGUAAAGGCCUACCAAGGCGACGAUCUGUAGCGGGUCUGAGAGGAUGAUCCGCCACACUGGAAGUGAGACACGGUCCAGACUCCUACGGGAGGCAGCAGUGGGGAAUGUUGGAAAAGGGGGGCAACCCUGAACCAGCCAUGCAGCGUGGGUGAAGAAGGCCUUCGGGUUGUAAAGCUCUUUCGGCCGGGAAGAAAUCGCAUAGGCUAAUACCCUGUGUGGAUGACGGUACCGGAAUAAGAAGCACCGGCUAACUACGU